GUAGGGGGCAAGCGUUAUCCGGAUUUACUGGGUGUAAAGGGAGCGUAGACGGCUUUGCAAGUCUGAUGUGAAAGGCGGGGGCUCAACCCCUGGACUGCAUUGGAAACUGUGAGGCUUGAGUGCCGGAGAGGUAAGCGGAAUCCCUAGUGUAGCGGUGAAAUGCGUAGAUAUUAGGAGGAACACCAGUGGCGAAGGCGGCUUUCUGGACGAUGACUGACGUUGAGGCUCGAAAGCGUGGGGAGCAAACAGGAUUAGAUACCCUGGUAGUCCACGCCGUAAACGAUGACUACUAGGUGUCGGGGAGCAAAGCUCUUCAGUGCCGCAGCAAACGCAAUAAGUAGUCCACCUGGGGAGU
rnacentral:rRNA from 1 species